CAAUGAGAAAAUGAGCGUCACUAAGAAGAUAAAUUCCUCGUUAAUCUCAUAUAUUUCAGAUACGUUCGAUAAUUAUAUCUAAUAUCUUUUGAAACCAUAUUAACAUUCUGUUCUAGCUGCAUUUCAAAUAUUUUCGGUGAAUUGAACUUGAAAUCGCAGUGUCUACAAAGGCGGAAAAAGGUGGUAGUCGCUUCUUGAUAAGUCGGGCUACAAUAUAGUGCAGAUAAGAUAAAGACAAGGACGCAAGAUUGAAUCAAUAUUGACAUUUGUCAGACAUGCAAAGCCGGAAGUUGUACAGAAAACAGCAGAUCAAUUGGAAAACAAUUCUCAAUGCGAUAAUAAGUAAGUUUUUCGAUAGAGACGCCGUGCCUGUUUCGUGUACAUCGCGUGCAACUUCCUUUGCAGCUUUAUUUACCUUCGUGACGCUUUAGUCGACGUUAUUGAUAUAAUAUUGAAGUUAGUUCGACGGUAGUUUUACAUUGCAACGAAACAAAAAACAAUCUUAUAAUAUAUCUUAAAUAUACAUUUUAAAAUUAUAUAUUAUUAAGCCUGGAUAGAGACAAGAGAUUUAUGAACAAUGGCUGAUAUUGCAUCUCGCGGUGGUAAAAUUUAUCGCGCACUGCAUAUGCGUUCAUGGAAAGGCAUGCGUCAUGUUUCUGUCAUAAGAACGGUUCACUGACCAUUGUACACGACAUUCGUCACAGUGACAAGUGAAAUAUUCCACCGUCUUGUCGCUCAACUGCGGGCUAAUGAUGAACAAAGCUUAUUAAAGUCGCCGGAGAAAGCGCAGAAAUGUUAUUAAUGUCGCGUUGCAGUUGCGAGGAUAAUCGAGAAAGACAAGAUGUUUAACGUCAUUGUCACUGUCGCAGUUGUUCAACUCACGCAUCCCACGACGGAUAUGCAGCCCCGUUUAUUGUCAACCUUACUCGGCAACCUCAGAAUAACCGGAGCGGCUUCCGCGUGCACUUACACUUCGCGACGGUAAUUCAGCGUUUAUGAGCCCAUGUCGAAACACGCAGAGGUCGUGUUCUACCAAGGCUGAUUAAUUCCCGGAAUUAAUGCGAAACCUGCCGGCAACGCGCGUAUUACAGGCUCUCUUUCGCAUGUCCAUACUGAUUCAUCGAUCUGCAUUAGCCGUAACACGACUUUCUGUGUACUGUACGUGUACACAGAGCCCUACGAAAAUUGUAAAAAAAAACCAUCUACAUGUAAAAUCCUUAAAGAGUCCGCAAAGUACCUAAAAAUGAAAAAAUACCGUAGAUACAAACAAUCCGUGAACUUGUAAAAAAUAAUAAAGAGAGCCCCUAAUAUGCGUCAUAAAACUUGAUAUAAAGUUCAAACUGCGGAAAUAAUGCGCAUAUCAUAAAAGUUUUAUCUUGAACAAAGCAUUCAUCUACGCUUUGGUGGGCAUGUAAUACGACGAAUUCCUGUAACCACCUUUAUCAGCUUUAUCUCGCGAAAAGGUGCAGUAUUACGUCAACGGUUCCCAACUGUUAAAGACAAAAGGCGUGUCGCUACGUCACCGAUCACAAAAAAAGUGUUAAAAUUACACUCUUCUGUGGCGGUGAAAGUAAUCUUCUCGUAUACACACCUUAAGAAGAUUGUACUUCGACAUAGAGAAACUUCGCUUGACGCUUACACCUACUUGCCAAGAGAUUUAAUGUUGCAAA
rnacentral:lncRNA from 1 species